rnacentral:rRNA from 1 species
UUGAACGCUGGCGGCAGGCCUAACACAUGCAAGUCGAACGGUAACAGGAAGCAGCUUGCUGCUUCGCUGACGAGUGGCGGACGGGUGAGUAAUGUCUGGGAAACUGCCUGAUGGAGGGGGAUAACUACUGGAAACGGUAGCUAAUACCGCAUAACGUCGCAAGACCAAAGAGGGGGACCUUCGGGCCUCUUGCCAUCGGAUGUGCCCAGAUGGGAUUAGCUAGUAGGUGGGGUAACGGCUCACCUAGGCGACGAUCCCUAGCUGGUCUGAGAGGAUGACCAGCCACACUGGAACUGAGACACGGUCCAGACUCCUACGGGAGGCAGCAGUGGGGAAUAUUGCACAAUGGGCGCAAGCCUGAUGCAGCCAUGCCGCGUGUAUGAAGAAGGCCUUCGGGUUGUAAAGUACUUUCAGCGGGGAGGAAGGGAGUAAAGUUAAUACCUUUGCUCAUUGACGUUACCCGCAGAAGAAGCACCGGCUAACUCCGUGCCAGCAGCCGCGGUAAUACGGAGGGUGCAAGCGUUAAUCGGAAUUACUGGGCGUAAAGCGCACGCAGGCGGUUUGUUAAGUCAGAUGUGAAAUCCCCGGGCUCAACCUGGGAACUGCAUCUGAUACUGGCAAGCUUGAGUCUCGUAGAGGGGGGUAGAAUUCCAGGUGUAGCGGUGAAAUGCGUAGAGAUCUGGAGGAAUACCGGUGGCGAAGGCGGCCCCCUGGACGAAGACUGACGCUCAGGUGCGAAAGCGUGGGGAGCAAACAGGAUUAGAUACCCUGGUAGUCCACGCCGUAAACGAUGUCGACUUGGAGGUUGUGCCCUUGAGGCGUGGCUUCCGGAGCUAACGCGUUAAGUCGACCGCCUGGGGAGUACGGCCGCAAGGUUAAAACUCAAAUGAAUUGACGGGGGCCCGCACAAGCGGUGGAGCAUGUGGUUUAAUUCGAUGCAACGCGAAGAACCUUACCUGGUCUUGACAUCCACGGAAGUUUUCAGAGAUGAGAAUGUGCCUUCGGGAACCGUGAGACAGGUGCUGCAUGGCUGUCGUCAGCUCGUGUUGUGAAAUGUUGGGUUAAGUCCCGCAACGAGCGCAACCCUUGCUAUUAGUUGCUACGCAAGAGCACUCUAAUAGGACUGCCGUUGACAAAACGGAGGAAGGUGGGGACGACGUCAAAUCAUCAUGCCCCUUAUGACCUGGGCUACACACGUACUACAAUGGCGUUAAACAAAGAGAAGCAAGACCGCGAGGUGGAGCAAAACUCAGAAACAACGUCCCAGUUCGGACUGCAGGCUGCAACUCGCCUGCACGAAGUCGGAAUUGCUAGUAAUCGUGGAUCAGCAUGCCACGGUGAAUACGUUCCCGGGCCUUGUACACACCGCCCGUCACACCAUGGGAGUGGGUUGCAAAAGAAGUAGGUAGCUUAACCUUCGGGAGGGCGCUUACCACUUUGUGAUUCAUGACUGGGGUG